rnacentral:rRNA from 1 species
CUCUGGUGCACCAGUUGUCUUGCCAAGGGCACAGCUGGGUAGCCAUGUUCGGACGGGAUAAGCGCUGAAGGCAUCUAAGCGCGAAGCCCACCCCGAGAUGAGAUUUCCCACGCGAGAGCGGUAAGACCCCUGGAAGACUACCAGGUAGAUAGGCCAGAGGUGUAAGCGUCGUAAGGCGUUUAGCUGACUGGUACUAAUAGGUCGAGGACUUGAUCUAC